GUCUCUCUCUCAUGGGAGUGUUCAGGGCCCGAACACUCCCCCCUCACCAAGCUCCAGCUGUUUGUGGAAGUUUUGCCUCCUCACGAAGUCCAAGAAGACUCUUUCUUGUUGAUUUCAGUUGCAGUUUCUUCUAACAAAAAAAAUUCUCUGAGAAUUUUAGGAAUCAUAAAUCUCUUUAAACUCUCCAAGCCGAGCCCACCAGAAAGUUGCUAUAAUAGUUCAUGGUCAAAGACGUGGUGGAUACACCCAUCAAAGAGAAGCAGCCCAGGAUGCAAUUUAUAAAUGUUUGCCUUCAGCCCAGACCUAUGCAUACUAAAUAGCCUA